rnacentral:rRNA from 1 species
CCAGACUCCUACGGGAGGCAGCAGUGGGGAAUAUUGGGCAAUGGAGGAAACUCUGACCCAGCAACGCCGCGUGAAUGAUGAAGGUCUUCGGAUUGUAAAGUUCUUUUCUAAGGGAAGAAGAAAGUGACGGUACCUUAGGAAUAAGCCUCGGCUAACUACGUGCCAGCAGCCGCGGUAAUACGUAGGAGGCAAGCGUUAUCCGGAAUGACUGGGCGUAAAGGGUGCGUAGGUGGUUCAGCAAGUUAGUAGCGUAACGCCGGAGCGCAACUUCGGCACUACUACUAAAACUGUUGGACUUGAGUGCAGGAGGGGGAACUGGAAUUCCUAGUGUAGCGGUGGAAUGCGUAGAUAUUAGGAGGAACACCAGUGGCGAAGGCGGCUUACUGGACUGUAACUGACGUUGAGGCUCGAAAGCGUGGGGAGCAAACAGGAUUAGAUACCCUUGUAAC